GCUGAGGACAUGCAGACUAUGAAAAGUAGACAUCUGGAGAUGGUGCAAGAGCUAGAGGAAAACUUUCAGAUCGCAUCACGAGAGAACCAGGUGAUCUCUGUGUGUGUGCGCGUGUGUGUAUUGAUCGGGUGUCACUACAAGUUGAUAUCAACACUUAUCUGUGCUAGUAGGAGAGGACAAUACAGAAGAUCCGAUCUCACUACCAGAACAAGCUGAAUGCACUGAAGAGAAUCUUAGACCUUUACCAAGAGAAGGUAGAAAAGAAGAACACACACUGGGAGGAGAGAAUCACAAGUGUGAGCCGGCAGAAUGAGAGGCUGCAGGGAGAGCAGAUCGCCGAGAGGAGGAGGAGUAGAGAGGAGGCCCUGCAGUGGCAGAGAGAGAAGGUCUGACCAUACAGAGCCUAAAGAGGUUCUGAUUCUCUGCUUUGUUUGUGAGUCUCGUAGUGUGCCCUGUCCCAGCUCUCACCACUGAAAGGGACUUGUGAGAGCUUGACCAUUUCCAAGCCAUGGUCACCCUCUUAUGGCCACAGCGGAAACAGAGGCUCUGCUCCAGCAGCACUGGCUAUGCUACUUAUUGUACACUGACAUUCUGAACUGACAUUGAGUUGCAUAGCGAAGACACAUUACUUUUGUGGCAUGAAACAACAUGACAGGGCAGGGAUUUUUUUUUCUCUCGAAAUGAUAGUGAAGCUCAAACUGAUGAUACUUGUCUCUGCUUAGAUAACCUCAACAUGGUUCUUCUUCCCAACAGAAUAAAAUGAUGGAGCUUUUCUCCAGCAGACUAGACCUCCUCCACAGCCACCAGGCAUCCAGUGAGUCGGUGUGCUUAUGUUUGUGUACAUGUGUGUGUUUCUGACUGUUAUAAAUGGUGUACAAUGGUGAAUAGCACUACAGGAGCUGCAGAUGGCCAGGCAGGAGGUGGGGAAAGUCCAGGAGAUGCUCAGGACCUCCCCACAGGAGAAGGGACAACAGGAAGCCCCUCCUACUGAUGCUGGUGACAUAUUAGAGAAAGACAACGGUCCUGUCCAGCAAACUGAAGUGGGUGUAUGUAUGUUUUUGCCCAAAUCACUGAGACUGGGUCAGACUGCUUUCAUUGCCUUAAUUGCUAAGGUAAGGAUUGGGGGUUAGAGUAAUCUGAUCCUCGAUCUGUAAUUAAUGGCAAUUUCAGCCAUAAACAUUGUUCCGUGUACAGUGAGCACUGAGCAGGCUUUGCUGUCCAUAGGGGUGCAGUGACACAGAGCUGCCACUGGAGGGGGCCCAAGCUCGCCUGGAGGAGUUGAAGGAGAGUCUGUAUAAAAGGGAAAGAGAGAUUACUGAGCUCCUGGAGGCAGAGCAGACACCCAUCCCACCUAUCCCGGUGGUACAGCCCCCCUGUGCUGUCCUGCUCCGCAUUGUCGUUGAGAAGGUGAGGUGUUUAAGUGGCUCGUUGAAACACAUUGGAACACUGGAACUAAAUGCUGAGACACCUAAACGAUGCUUCACUGCAGGGCCGGCCCAUGCCUUUUUGGAGCCCUAAGCGAAAUUUGGUUAUGUGGCCCCCCCACCUCGCGGGCAAAACAUUUUAGUGUCAGAGAGAACAUUUUUACGUUUUAAAAUUUAAAUUUCCUGCAAUUCAACACAUUUUGCCAUGGGGCUUAGAGAAAAUGCUGCAGUUUUAAAAGCAAGUUUUCUGCAAUUCUACACAUUUUGCCAUGGGGCAGAGAGAAUAUUUUUGUACCAGGUUGGUAAUUUGGCCAUGAUUAAUACAAGUUUAGAUAGCUGGUAGACUAAUUUACCAAUCUGGACUAAUUGAGUAACUGUCAGUGGCUGACAUAAGAAAACUGCUGAUGCACAACCACAUUUCGAAAUUGCACUUCUUGUAUUCUACUAUUCUCACUCUCAACUGAGUAAAACAUGUGCUUAUGCCCAGGGCCAGCCCUGCCUAACUGAAAUUGUUCUAUUAUUUCACAGCUAUGAGUCUAAUGAUCAGUGAAGCACACCGUUAAAACAGUAAAAGAGCCACAUUAUUGAAAUAAUUUGUCUUAGGCCCAUGAUAUCUGUAACGAAGUGAGCGAGGCGAGACUCCUUGUUGACCACAUGUUCGAGGAGAACCGUGUGGCCUUGGCCCAAGCAAGAGAAAAACUUGACCAUAUGUCACAGAUCACCGCAGAUGAUAACAACAUCAAAGAGGAGGUCAACUCUGCCCCAGAAUGGUCAGUAUACAAACUACAAAGCCAUUUUCCUUCCCAUUGAACAUUUAUUUGACUUACUGUAGCUUCCUUUUCUGCCAUAUAACUGGAGGGUCCCAUCCUUCAGCUUUAGGUGGAAUUUUACUUAUUGAAUCUUGGUCUGAGGGCAUCUCUGCCUCGAGGGCAGAUACAAAUGUGAUUGUGUUUAGGCAAGUAAUCCUAAUUGGUUAGGGAAAGGGUUGAGGCAAGGAUUAGGGUUUAACCAAAUAUAUGGACACGAAGGUAGGGUUGGGGGUUAGGGUUAGUGUUGAGGCUAGGGUUAGAGUUGAACCAGCAUAUGGACAUGAAGCUAGGGGUUAGAGUUGAACCAGAUAAGUACAUGAAGCCAGGGUUAGGGUAAGGAGUUAAAUGUAGAAAAUGUAUGGGAUUGGUUAGGUUUAGGAUUGGGCUAAGGGUUCGGGUGAGUUUCGAACCAGCUGCCUUUUGUAUGGAAGCACUGAAGAGACCAUAGAGACCCUAUUUUACAUAGUGCCCUUUUGAUAAUGGCCAAACAAAAUGAUCACCCCUCUUGUUAUUUUGUGAAUAAUGUUCUAUACCACAGGUUGGACUCUUCCGAUGAGUAUGCAUCUAAUGUGCUGUUGCUACAAGAGACACUGAGGGAAUGUGAGAUUACCCAGAUGGCUCUGGACUGUAUCAGAGUCGGGGCCACGCCUUCUCUCUCUGGUAAUGUAAUGUUGUGUGUGUGUGUGUGUGUGUGUGUGUGUGUGUGUGCGGGCAUGCGCGUUGUUGCUACUACGUAUGUUUACCCAUGUGUGUCUGUUUCUAUUUGUGUGACUGAACAUUGUAGUGGGAUUGAGGAUCUAAAUUGCAUUAAAUGUUGUAUUUUCCUGGAUAUGUGCUGUGUAAUCACGUGACAUGUCAUGAGUAUCCACCACCUUGGAUUUCUUCACAUUUUAUUGUGUUACAGUGUGAUUAAAAUUGAUUACAUUUUCA